GCCCGGGCGGCGGCGAUGGCGGCGGCGAUGGCGCUCCCGGCCGUAACCCCCGCACCAGCAAUAUGGCGUCAACAACAACGCCGCCGGUUCAAACGCCAGCCCCCCCCUGCCGCAGAGGCUCACGGGACUCGUGGUUUCCCCGCCCCGGCCCCGCCGCUCAAAGGCAGGAUGGACGCUGGGGAGUUGGGACUACAGCUCCCGGUGUGCAUUGUGUCGGCAGGAGCUCAGUCACAGUGAUUUAUUGACACAAAAUCAGAAGGAGAAUCUUCUAAAUGGCCAGUCAGCUGAAGAAGCCAGACUGGGAACAUCUGUAUCUUCCCACCUGAAAACCUCACCUGUUGCUUGCUCCUACAGAGUACCUGGAAACACUGGUAAAAAACAAAUUAGUGCAUGCCAUUGUAUUUCAGCAACUCUUUUUUCUGUAUAGCAUUAGAGUGAUGUCAGAGGUUGAUGACAUAUUAGGUUGUUCCAGUGAGAACAAUUAAUUUGGGGGCAAAAACCAGUGAGGACCCUGUCAGACUCUGAACAAUGUUUUUGGUUUUCAUGUACUGAUUCAUCAGUGUUUAUAGGCCUCCAACAUGUAAAUCACCCUGAGGUAAUCUGGAAGGGAAGGAUAUGAAUAAGCCAAUUAAAUUGGCAAAGAGCCUAAGGAACACCCUGUUUAGGGAUAAAAUCAUGCCUAUCCUAGUGCCAGUAAUUUUGGAGAAAAAAUAGGCUUAACAUCCUUGCAGAGUUAAACCAUUUCUUUGUAGAAAGAACUAAUUUAGAAGUCUUUGGUUUUCUUCUUUUGUGUGUGUGAGCUUGGGUAACUGAG
rnacentral:lncRNA from 1 species